rnacentral:lncRNA from 1 species
UCUUGAAGGACAAUUUACGGGGACAUUCUACCCAAUCUUGAACGGAACGGCGGAGCUAUGCAGCAACGGUCAUUUCGUGAAGGACUACAGGGACAAGCGGGUGGACUUCGUGAAGCCCAUCACCCUGGACUACGUCUCGAUCAUGGCGCCCAAGGCCAGCGUUAUCCCACCCGUCAUCACGGUCCUACUCAGCUUCGAGCUCUCCGUUUGGGUCAUGCUCUGUCUCACCUUCGUUUCCCCCGUUCUCGUCUACGUCGCCUACCUCAAAUACUCCUUCGAGUACAUGGACGCCGGAACCUUACCCGUAGUCCACGGACAGGAAACACAGAGGAGAGGGGCUUGGACCUCCAGCACCUCGUCUCCUAGUAAUCAGCCUCAGAUUCAUACGCAGCCGAGACAAUCAAACUGGUUCAUCAAUAACGUGUUGAAGAACCACGUACCCUCUAAAAGCCCCAUCGGAGGAAAAUUGAAACGCUUGAUUGGUCAAUUUUUCACCUCUAGAAAUCCAUGGACUUCUAAACGUGUAAGAUCAAAGCAAUUCCCUAAAAUCGGAUUCAGGUCGCGUGACGGUCCAAAACAAAUCGUGUCCGCUCAUGGGAAAUAUUUAGGGUUUGAUAACUCACCAAAAAUUGCAUAUCUCUUUGGUAACCCAAAGCUAAUGGCACACCACUCGAAAUCAGCUGGAGGGUCACUGCCUAACCAGUUUGGGCCUCAAAACCGUUCGAGGGAAUUCUUGUCACCUCAUGCCAAAAACACGCAAUAUGGACCAUCUCCAAUGCCUGAAAUAGGCAAAGAAUCGAGAUUUGUUCGACUGUUCCAUACACUCUGGGGCCAAAUGGUGACAACUGAUCAUAGUAAUUCUGCGGUAAUGAUACCAGCUCAUUCAGCACACUCCCAAGCAGUGCUUUGGUCAAAAGGAGGUCGGUCAGUGACACCAGCCUCUAAACUGGAUAUUCCCAAAGUUAUCUUUGACACGUUUCGAUUUUUCUUAUCAUCGCCUCCGCCAAAAUGUCUUAUCAUCGGAUCAACUUCUGAGCGGAUUCUAGUCACGUCGAUUCUCGUCUUUACUAUCGUGAUAACGAGCUCGUUUCAGGGCAAUUUAGUCAGAUUUUUGAGCGUCCCCGUUUACUACCCGGACAUCGAUAACCUCAAACAGUUGGAAAAGUCCCCGCUGUUGAUUUGGACCUCGUCGCUGAGUUGGAGGGACAUCUUCUACAGUGACCCGAUCCUGUGGGGUCUCGCAAAAAAGGUGCACCGGUGGAAGUCGGAGCAAGACAUGCACGACUCGGACGGGUACUACGCGGGCUUCCAACGGAUCAACGUCCACUCGUACAAGUACUUCAAGGACGUCGUCCUCACCGGGCUCAAGAACAACGCCACGCGCACCCUCCACACCCUCUCGCAGAACCUCAUCACCUACUACCUGGCCUACAUCGUCAUCAAGGACUCCCCGUACCGCACCCGCAUCGACUCCCUCAUCGGGCGCAUGGACCAGUCCGGCCUCGUCACCAAGUGGUCCGCCGACGUCAUCAAGUACACCCUGGAGACCUAUCGCACCGUCGAGGACCGUCGGGCCAAGAGGGAAAAGGUCUUCACCGUCCAGGACCUCUCUGCGUCCUUCAUCGUCCUGGGGGCCGGGGUUUGCGUCGCCAGUGUUGUGUUUCUCGGGGAGGUCUUGUUGGAGUAUUGGAGGUAUCGGAAAUUUAAGCGAGUCUUGGUGCCGGAUAGUAAAUUGCCUGAGGACGAGACGUUUUUGCAGGUUCAGAGGGACGAGCGGAAACAGGAUCUUGCUCCGAGGACCGGUUUUGAAUUUUUGCAUUGAGGUGGAUUUAUUCGUGGACUAAGAGACAUUUUUCGAUGCAGUACUCCACGUCAAUCUUCUUUGUAUUAGAAACACAGAGGAUUGAAUAUUGAAUAGAAAUUAACGUGAAAAAACUGUCAAGCGUUAUCCGCUGAAAUUGUGAUAUACUACCCCAAAUUGUUGGAUGAUUUAGACAUGUCUAAUUAUUUUGGUAGUGCCGCACUAUUUUGGUGAGUAACCUAUAAUUUAUUGGGGUGGGACUUGAGCCCUACCUCUUCUUUUCCGUGUUGACAUUAUGACGUUGCAGUCAAUGUAAAUCUUUCCUUAAUAUGACUGCGUAGCAUUUUUGUAAGACACAAAAUCUAUUCAAUAAACAUUCUUUAAAACCAUCAUGAAAUGAAUUUGUAUUCAAAUCGUUGGAGACUAUGAUACAAGCUCCUGUCAAAUGUCAUAACUAGCAUCGUGGAUAUUGCGCAGACAGUAGUCGAUAGAGGUUGCGCUUCCUCUAUCGACACAGUCGCUACGACUAUGGUGAAGGACAGUUCCGGUUUUAAACGUUUGUGAAUGUAUAUUCGUAAAAUUUUGACGGUUAUGCUAAACUUUAUGUCUCUCCUUCUUUAGUUUUUUCUUUCUCCUCUCCCGAAAAUGACUUGACGUGUUUUGUACAUAGUAGAUUU